rnacentral:rRNA from 1 species
AUUCCAGCUCCAAUAGCGUAUAUUAAAGUUGUUGCAGUUAAAAAGCUCGUAGUUGAACUUUGGGCUUGGUCAGCCGGUCCGCUUUUUUGCGUGUACUGGUCCUGACCGAGCCUUUCCUUCUGGCUAACCUGUCUCUCGGGGCAGGCGAACCAGGACUUUUACUUUGAAAAAAUUAGAGUGUUCAAAGCAGGCCUUUGCUCGAAUAUAUUAGCAUGGAAUAAUAGAAUAGGACGUUUGGUUCUAUUUUGUUGGUUUCUAGGACCAUCGUAAUGAUUAAUAGGGACGGUCGGGGGCAUCAGUAUUCAAUUGUCAGAGGUGAAAUUCUUGGAUUUAUUGAAGACUAACUACUGCGAAAGCAUGUGCCAAGGACGUUUUCAUCG